UAUCCAAGAAUCGUGAGGAGUGAAGUUGAAAAGGUCAGCAGUGGAGAACUUCUCAGGCUUGCAGCAAAGGGCAGUGUAAUCCCAGGGCCUGCUCUGAAGGCAGCUGCGGUGUCCGAGGCCUGCCUGGCUUUCACCUGUAGCAUAGCCCCAAUCAGUAUAAAGGGGAAGUCACAUAGGCCGAGAUGGUCAGGGAACGAUUCCAUGGGAAGGUCGGUUUGUCCUGGCCUAGAGGAUGAAGAGAAACGGAUACUCACAGGUGGAGGACUGAGGCUGGAAGAGUGACUGGCCCAUCCCAGGUGCUGGAUGUCUCUGUGCUGAGCAAAUGGUAGAUUCACCCGCCGAUGAGUUCAUACCUGGAUGGGCUAUGAGGAGGUGGGGCCCAGCUGGAGGAAGAAGGUUUGACAAAAGGCUCAGCCCUGGCCCCUUUCUCUCUCCCAUCAUCUGUUUCCUGACUCCCAAGAGGUAGCAGAUUUCCUCCACCACACCCUUCCACUACAAUGGGAGCCACCUUACCAUGGACUGAAGCUUCUGAA